AUGAUCGUAACUAAGACCCUCUUUAAAAAGAGAGAAUCACAUCUAGUGACUUUUAGUAGUGGUCAACACUCUAGCCAGAUUGAUUUCAUCCUCUCGAGAAGAGAAGACACGCGUGCGUGCCUAGAUUGUAAGGUGAUACCUGGAGAGAGUGUUGUCCCUCAGCAUAAGCUUGUGGUUGUUGACUUCCGCUUUCGGAUUCAUGUCCGGCGGGAUAAGCAUGCCAAAGUCGCUAGAACGAAGUGGUGGAAGCUCAGGGGGGAGGUAGCACAGGCGUUCAAGGAGAGGGUCAUUAAGGAGGGCCCUUGGGAGGAAGGAGGGGAUGCGGACAAUAUGUUGAUGAAGAUGGCGAUUUGCAUCCGUAAGGUGGACUCAAAGGAGUUUGGAGUGUCCUGGGGAAGUAGAAGCAAAGCUAAAGAUACCUGGUGGUGGAAUGAUGAUGUCCAGAAAGAUUGUUUCAGACGCCUAUACUUGUAUAGGAGUGCAAACAAUAUAGAGAAGUACAAGAUGGCGAAGAAGGCUACAAAGAGAGCUGUGAGUGAAGCGAGGGGUCGGGCAUAUGAGGACCUCUACCAGCAGUUAGACACGAAGGAAGGCGAAAGGGACAUCUAUAAGAUGGCCAAGAUCCGAGAGAGAAAGACGAGGGAUGUUGACCAAGUCAAAUGCAUCAAGGACGUUGCAAACCAGCUCCUAGUGAAGGAUAAGGAGAAUAAGGGUUUGUUUGGGACUGCUCUGCUUCAUCAAAAUCAGUUUCAGUCCACUAAAUUCACACUGGAGCAGUUACAUACAGAAGUUGUAGCACUACAAAAGAAAAUGUUUGGCUUCCAUCUAGCUCCAGCUUCAAGAAUAGGAAAUUUGGUGGAAAGGAUCUAUUUGAUUGGAUGA
rnacentral:rRNA from 1 species